rnacentral:rRNA from 1 species
UACGUAGGGUGCGAGCGUUAAUCGGAAUUACUGGGCGUAAAGCGUGCGCAGGCGGUGCGUUGUGUCGGUGGUGAAAUCCCCGGGCUUAACCUGGGAAUGGCAUUUGGGACUGCAAGGCUUGAGUGCGGCAGAGGAGACUGGAAUUCCUGGUGUAGCAGUGAAAUGCGUAGAUAUCAGGAGGAACACCGAUGGCGAAGGCAGGUCUCUGGGCUGACACUGACGCUCAUGCACGAAAGCGUGGGGAGCAAACAGG